rnacentral:rRNA from 1 species
UACGUAGGGGGCGAGCGUUGUCCGGAGUUACUGGGCGUAAAGCGCACGCAGGCGGUCUGCUAAGUUUGGAGUGACAGUUGGUGGCUUAACUGCCAAAGUGCUUCGAAAACUGACAGACUUGAGGGCUUCAGAGGGACACGGAAUUCCGGGUGGAGUGGUGAAAUGCGUAGAGAUCCGGAGGAACACCAAAGGCGAAGGCAGUGUCCUGGGGAGUACCUGACGCUCAGGCGCGAAAGCCAGGGGAGCGAACGGG